rnacentral:lncRNA from 1 species
CUAUUUUAAUAGCGUACAGCUUGAAUUAAAAUGUACUAAAUUUUCAUCGAUAAAUCAAAUAAUUCAACUUCAUUUGAAAAUGACGAACAAAUACUACUUCACGGAUCUGCACUAUGCGGAAAGAAAAAUCAAUACACACACAAGACAACAGUUUCUACGUUAUGAUUUUAUCGGUAUUCUCCAGACAUGUGUCAGAUCCAUAUAUACCCC